AGUGAACGCUGGCGGUAGGCCUAACACAUGCAAGUCGAACGAGUGGCGGACGGGUGAGGAAUACAUCGGAAUCUACCUUGUCGAGGGGGAUAACGUCGGGAAACUGAAGCUAAUACCGCAUACGAUCGAAUGUGCCGAUGUGGGAUUAGCUAGUUGGUGGGGUAAAGGCCCACCAAGGCGACGAUCCCUAGCUGGUCUGAGAGGAUGACCAGCCACACUGGAACUGAGACACGGUCCAGACUCCUACGGGAGGCAGCAGUGGGGAAUAUUGGACAAUGGGCGCAAGCCUGAUCCAGCCAUACCGCGUGGGUGAAGAAGGCCUUCGGGUUGUAAAGCCCUUUUAUUGGGAAAGCGGUACCCAAAGAAUAAGCACCGGCUAACUUCGUGCCAGCAGCCGCGGUAAUAC
rnacentral:rRNA from 1 species